rnacentral:rRNA from 1 species
CCUACGGGGGGCAGCAGUGGGGAAUAUUUCACAAUGGAGGAAACUCUGAUGCAGCAACGCCGCGUGAAGGAUGACGGUCUUCGGAUUGUAAACUUCUUUUUUAAGGGAAGAAUAUGAUGGUAACCUAUGAGUAAGCAGCGGCUAACUACGUGCCAGCAGCCGCGGUCAUACGUAGGAUGCGAGCAUUAUCCGGAGUAACUGGGGGUAAAGAGUGGCGUGUGGGGGAUAAAAAGUAGCUAAUGAAAUUUCGUGGUUCAAACAUUGAGACUAUUAGCAAAACUGUUCGUCUUGAGAGCAGUAGGGGUAACUGGAAUUUCUAGUGUAGGGGUGAAAUGCGUAGAUAUUAGGAGGAACACCAGUGGCGAAGGCAGGUUACUGGGAUGGUACUGACACUGAGGCACGAAAGCGUGGGGAGCAAACAGGAUUAGAUACCCCUGUAGUC